GAUGAACGCUGGCGGCGCGCCUAACACAUGCAAGUCGAACGGCACCCCUCCUCGGAGGGAUGCGCGUGGCGAACGGCUGAGUAACACGUGGAGAACCUGCCCCCUCCCCCGGGAUAGCCGCCCGAAAGGACGGGUAAUACCGGAUACCCCGGGUUCCCGCAUGGCACCCGGGCUAAAGCCCCGCCGGGGGGGGAUGGCUGCGCGGCCCAUCAGGUCGACGGCGGGGUGACGGCCCACCGUGCCGACGAGGGGUAGCCGGGUAGAGAGACCGACCGGCUAGGUUGGGACUGAGACACGGCCCAGCCUCCGACGGGAGGCGGCAGUGGGGAAUCUUGCGGAGUGGGGGGAAGCCUGACGCAGCGACGGCGCGGGAGGGACGGAGGCCUUCGGGUAGUAAACCGCUUUCAGCAGGGAAGAGUCAAGACUGUACCUGCAGAAGAAGCCCCGGCUAACUACGUG
rnacentral:rRNA from 1 species